GUAACGUCUCCUUCAUCAUUACUGUUGAUGCACAUUAGAAGAUUUUCUGACUGGCUGUGCAGCAGGACUGGAUGUGAUGAUGGAUCACUCUUUUCUCUGUGUGCUGGGGUUAUUCUGGCUGUAUACACUCCUCUGCACUGGACACACUCAAGGAGCUGUUCUGACCAUUGAUCCUAACUGGUCGACUUUUUAUACUGGAGAGUCUGUUACCUUCAUAUGUGACAUGAAGGAAGGAACAAACACUGACUUGGAAUACAAAAUCCUCAAGGAUGGUCAAGAAUUCAUUCCCUACAA